rnacentral:rRNA from 1 species
UACGUAGGUGGCGAGCGUUGUCCGGAUUUACUGGGCGUAAAGGGAGCGUAGGCGGACUUUUAAGUGAGAUGUGAAAUACUCGGGCUCAACUUGAGUGCUGCAUUUCAAACUGGAAGUCUAGAGUGCAGGAGAGGAGAAUGGAAUUCCUAGUGUAGCGGUGAAAUGCGUAGAGAUUAGGAAGAACACCAGUGGCGAAGGCGAUUCUCUGGACUGUAACUGACACUGAGGCGCGAAAGCGUGGGGAGCAAACAGG